GUGAAGAACGCAGCGAAAUGCGAUAAGUAAUGUGAAUUGCAGAAUUCAGUGAAUCAUCGAAUCUUUGAACGCACAUUGCGCCCGUCAGUAUUCUGGCGGGCAUGCCUGUUCGAGCGUCAUUACGCCCCUCAAGUCCCCUGUGGACUUGGUGUUGGGGAUCGGCGAGGCUGGUUUUCCAGCACAGCCGUCCCUUAAAUUAAUUGGCGGUCUCGCCGUGGCCCUCCUCUGCGCAGUAGUAAAACACUCGCAACAGGAGCCCGGCGCGGUCCACUGCCGUAAAACCCCCCAACUUUUUAUAGUUGACCUCGAAUCAGGUAGGACUACCCGCUGAACUUAAGCAUAUCAAUAAGCGGAGGA
rnacentral:misc_RNA from 1 species